rnacentral:rRNA from 1 species
UACAGGGGGGGCAAGCGUUGUUCGGAAUUACUGGGCGUAAAGGGUUUGUAGGUGGCUUGCUCAGUCAGACGUGAAAUCCCUCAGCUUAACUGGGGAACUGCGUCUGAUACUAGCGAGCUUGAGUGCAGGAGAGGAACGCGGAAUUCCAGGUGUAGCGGUGAAAUGCGUAGAUAUCUGGAGGAACACCGGUGGCGAAGGCGGCGUUCUGGACUGCAACUGACACUGAAAAAUAAAGCCAGGGGAGCAAACGGG